GUAAAAGAUAAAUCUUAUUCUAUCUGUUCUUAAUGAGUUUUAGAUAAUUUUAGUUGUAUUUCUUUGUAAUUUUGUGUUGUACAAAGAUUAAUUUAACAUUUUCUCUGGAAGUGUUAAUUUAGGAAGAUAAUAUGCUUCAUUGGUGUUGUGUUUUGAAGUGUGAAAUGCAAAGUAAUUGUGAUAAAGUCAAGAUAAAGUUCACUUUUAAACUGAACUAAAUAAGGUAUCUGCGAGACAACAAUGGUUAAAUGCAAUACAAUGUACAGGUUUUACUAGCGAAACGAAAAUUUUCCUGUCCUGUCUGCUGUAAUCAUUUUAUAUCUGGAAAACCAGCCGACUUAAUCGAUAAUAACAAUCUCCAGAUUGGGUUCCUUCAAUAAAUAUGGGCUAUAAACACAAUGAAAUAAGUUCCCCAAAAUCUAAAAUGGAGUGGUAUCAAAGGAGAAUUAAAGGAAAAAAUAUUCAUAUUGAAAUUAUUUAUAAGGCACUGGACUGUCUUAAAUUCUACAAUAAUACUAGAAUCAGCUGAGAGAAGUGGUCUACAAAAAACCAGGAAGGAAACGGAAUAUGUGGCUACGAAAGGCAAAAGAAAGGUUUACAAAGCAAAUGUGACACAUUUUUUUGAAAUAUUUAGGAAUAUCAGUAAAUUGCAUUAAAAGAAUGUAUGAAAAGAUUUUGUUCAAUAAAAAUGUUUAUAUUUA